rnacentral:misc_RNA from 1 species
GUGAAUCAUCAAAUUUUUGAACGCAAAUUGCACUUUCUGGUAUUCCGGGAAGUAUGCCUGUUUGAGGGUCAGUUAAAUAAAAAUCGGUGUUAUUGCUAUUAAUGGUGCUGCAUCGGAAUUGAGUCGUCUUUACCUUUGGUUUUUAGUGACUUAAAAUUAUGUAUGAUUUCUGAACGUAUUUAAAUUAUUUACUUACGUUAUUGAUCUCUCAUAUUAGGUGCGGUCAUACACAUGACUACGC